rnacentral:rRNA from 1 species
CAAGUCGAACGGUUGGUAGCAAUACCAAUAGUGGCGCACGGGUGCGUAACGCGUAACCAACCUACCCGAAUCUGGGGGAUAGCCCGCCGAAAGGCGGAUUAAUACCGCAUAAAACUGCAGCCUGGCAUCAGGUAACAGUUAAAGAUUUAUUGGAUUCGGAUGGGGUUGCGUGCCAUUAGCUAGUUGGCGGGGUAACGGCCCACCAAGGCGACGAUGGCUAGGGGAGCUGAGAGGCUGGUCCCCCACACGGGCACUGAGAUACGGGCCCGACUCCUACGGGAGGCAGCAGUAGGGAAUAUUGGGCAAUGGGCGAGAGCCUGACCCAGCCAUGCCGCGUGCAGGAUGAAGGCUUUCUGAGUCGUAAACUGCUUUUACCAGGGAAGAAAAAAGGGGAUGCGUCCUCUACUGACGGUACCUGGUGAAUAAGCACCGGCUAACUCCGUGCCAGCAGCCGCGGUAAUACGGAGGGUGCAAGCGUUGUCCGGAUUUAUUGGGUUUAAAGGGUGCGUAGGCGGCUGAUUAAGUCUGGGGUGAAAGCCCGUUGCUCAACAACGGAACUGCCCUGGAAACUGGUUAGCUUGAGUACAGACGAGGGUGGCGGAAUGGAUACUGUAGCGGUGAAAUGCAUAGAUAGUAUCCAGAACCCCGAUUGCGAAGGCAGCUGCCUAGACUGUAACUGACGCUGAGGCACGAAAGCGUGGGGAGCGAA